UACGUAGGGUGCAAGCGUUAAUCGGAAUUACUGGGCGUAAAGCGUGCGCAGGCGGUUGUGCAAGACAGAUGUGAAAUCCCCGGGCUUAACCUGGGAAUGGCAUUUGUGACUGCACGGCUAGAGUGUGUCAGAGGGGGUAGAAUUCCACGUGUAGCAGUGAAAUGCGUAGAUAUGUGGAGGAAUACCGAUGGCGAAGGCAGCCCCCUGGGAUAACACUGACGCUCAUGCACGAAAGGCGUGGGGGAGCAAACAGG
rnacentral:rRNA from 1 species